GACGAACGCUGGCGGCGUGCUUAACACAUGCAAGUCGAACGGAAAGGCCCUGCUUUUGUGGGGUGCUCGAGUGGCGAACGGGUGAGUAACACGUGAGUAACCUGCCCUUGACUUUGGGAUAACUUCAGGAAACUGGGGCUAAUACCGGAUAGGAGCUCCUGCUGCAUGGUGGGGGUUGGAAAGUUUCGGCGGUUGGGGAUGGACUCGCGGCUUAUCAGCUUGUUGGUGGGGUAGUGGCUGACCAAGGCUGUGACGGGUAGCCGGCCUGAGAGGGUGACCGGCCACAUUGGGACUGAGAUACGGCCCAGACUCCUACGGGAGGCAGCAGUGGGGAAUAUUGCACAAUGGGCGGAAGCCUGAUGCAGCAACGCCGCGUGCGGGAUGACGGCCUUCGGGUUGUAAACCGCUUUCGCCUGUGACGAAGCGUGAGUGACGGUAAUGGGUAAAGAAGCACCGGCUAACUACGUG
rnacentral:rRNA from 1 species